rnacentral:misc_RNA from 1 species
UAGUUCAAUUGAAUGAAGAUCACUUUCUGCUGAGUCUUCCGCGCAGUCUGCAACAUUCUCCACUUCUCCGUCAUCGUCUUUUUCUUUACUCAAGGAUGCCGUAUCUUCAUUAUUUCUGAAAUUUAGGGAACCAUUUCUCUUACCUUUGGUCUUUUUCUUCCCCAGGAAUCCUUCAAGCUGCUUUCUUAGCUUGUCAAUAGCAGAAUUUUUCUCCUCGAAAUGAUUCUUGGCCUCGGAGAGUUUCACAUGAGCCCUUUCCUCGCGCAAUCUAUCAGCUAACUGGAGCAUCUCUCUUUCCUGUUCAAGCUCUUCUUGAACUUUUGCAGAUUCCCUCUUCAUCUCUUCUGCUUCAGCUCUGUCUUCACCGAUAUCUCUAGCUAAUUCAUCACAUACCUGUUCCAUUACUUCUCUGGCUCUUUUCUCACUUUCAAGCUCUUGCACAGCCUUCACAAAUGAUG